rnacentral:misc_RNA from 1 species
AUGGCGGAAAAUUUUGAAAAGACGGAGGAAACUAGACAUCAAGGAUGUGCGUUCUUUUUGAAACGUAAAAACAGAUAUUGUAAAAUGAUUCCUGGGAAAAGAAACAAAUAUUGUGGUGAACAUUCAUAUCUUGCCCAAGAUAACCAAGGCAUUCCAGCGCGAAAACGAAUUCCUUGUCCACUGGAUACAAAGCACACAGUGUUUGAGGAUCAACUUGAGAAACAUUUGAAGAAAUGCAAUGUUACUAAGAAGAGAAACGUUGAAUAUUAUGUUGCAAAUAUUAACAGUGGAAUUUGCCAUAAUGAAUCAUCAUGGGAAAAGCUACCUUUAAGGAAAAUUCCAAAAGAUGAUAUCCAAAAUUGUAUAGACAGAAUCAAGUUAUACUUUGAACAAGGAAAUGCUGUUGAUAUCAAAACCUCUGUUUUAACUGAACAAUGUCUUGAAAAUGAAAUAAACAACACCAGUUGUAACCAUGCUUUGAAAAAGCAUUUACACCAACAGUCAUCAUUGAUAGGAAAUUUAAGAAAUUCAGAACUUUUAAAAUCGGAUUCAAUUUUUGUUGAAUUUGGAGCAGGACGGGGUUUGUUAUCACAUUGGAUACAAAAAUCUAUGAAAGAUGAAUCAAAUGUGGAUUUCUUGCUUGUCGACAGGGCAAGCACGCGAUAUAAGGCAGACUCCUACCACCGUGGACCAGAGCAAGGACCAAGUUUUCACCGAAUUCAGAUUGAUAUUGAACACUUAGAUUUAGAUAAUGUGCCGCUUAUAUCCAACAGUAAACAAGAAGUAACUGCCGUCAGCAAACACCUGUGUGGAGCUGCAACAGAUCUGGGAUUGAGAUGUCUACUCAAUUCACCUGACGAAACAGAGUGUUCUGACGACAACCCAGACAGAAAUGAAGCCAGAUCAACAAAGAGACUAAAACUUGGCGGCAAUCGUGUGCGGGGUCUUUUGUUUGCAUUGUGCUGUCACCACUGUUGUUCUUGGGCUAGCUAUGUCGGGAGAACAUUUUUGGAAAAUCUCGGUUUUACUGCGUACGACUUUCACAUUCUGUGCUGCCUGAGCAGUUGGGCUACCUGUGGCAGUCGAAAGGAAACACGGGCGAACGCUAAGAAUGAUACCCAGGCCUCUGAAAACCGUACGACGUGCGAAACAGUGACUGGGGCCCCAACUGAGCUGACUGAGGAUACAACAGGGACAAGAGGGGAUGACCAUGAACAUAGAACGAUAGAAGUCGAUGAAGGAAGUUGUAUAAGAGCUUUAGGAUUUACUAAGAGUCAAAGCGAGGAUAUUGGUCGUCAAAGUAAACGUUUAAUUGACGCUGGACGAGUCUGGUAUUUGAAACAAUUUGAUUUGGACGCUUCUCUUUUUUAUUAUGUCGAUCGGUCGGUUUCGUUGGAAAACAUCGCCAUCGUCGCUUAUAACAGAAGAAGUAAUUUUGAAAAAGAGUCUGAUUAAGCAGGAGGGCGCCGCUUUUGAAAAUCCAAGCCAUCCAUGUUUGUCUGGAGAGUUAUUCGUGAUAGGAUGAAAUGUUCAAUUUCAAACCAAAUUAUGAGGCAAGAUAGACGAAGAUUGGAUUCCUCGCCUCUUGUAACUGAUUUUUGGUCCAAAUUUUAACGAGGCAUCCUUAUACGGCCAAAGCUUGCUCAACUCGACAGUUCUACUUGUAUUCACCAUUAAGUGAUCUCAAUCAAAUCAUUUGGUCAGUGAAGUUUCAAUGAAGACAAUUAGACAAUAAAUAAACUGUUCAUGAAAUACUAGGAGACCACCAUGGCACCAUCCAUGUUCACUGACUCUACUCCCUGUUGUUGCAAAAAUCAUGGCUCUUCUUAAAGCUGAGGUGAUUUCCUAACAACAUUUGGGUCUCCUAACCACCUGUCAUAUUGUGGUAUAUCUGUUGGCACAGAUAAGAGUGUGUACAAAGUUAAAUCUACUGCAUCUGUACUGCAUUGAGUGAAAUCAUCUUAAUAUUUGGAAUAUUUCACUUAUAUUUGGACACAUCAGUUUUCAAAUUUUUUAAUGGGCGAA